rnacentral:rRNA from 1 species
UAGAGUUUGAUCCUGGCUCAGGAUGAACGCUGGCGGCGUGCUUAACACAUGCAAGUCGAACGGUGAAGCAGAGCUUGCUCUGUGGAUCAGUGGCGAACGGGUGAGUAACACGUGAGCAACCUGCCCCUGACUCUGGGAUAAGCGCUGGAAACGGCGUCUAAUACCGGAUAUGAGCUGCGAUCGCAUGGUCAGCAGUUGGAAAGAUUUUUCGGUCUGGGAUGGGCUCACGGCCUAUCAGCUUGUUGGUGAGGUAAUGGCUCACCAAGGCGUCGACGGGUAGCCGGCCUGAGAGGGUGACCGGCCACACUGGGACUGAGACACGGCCCAGACUCCUACGGGAGGCAGCAGUGGGGAAUAUUGCACAAUGGGCGAAAGCCUGAUGCAGCAACGCCGCGUGAGGGAUGACGGCCUUCGGGUUGUAAACCUCUUUUAGCAGGGAAGAAGCGAAAGUGACGGUACCUGCAGAAAAAGCGCCGGCUAACUACGUGCCAGCAGCCGCGGUAAUACGUAGGGCGCAAGCGUUAUCCGGAAUUAUUGGGCGUAAAGAGCUCGUAGGCGGUUUGUCGCGUCUGCUGUGAAAUCCCGAGGCUCAACCUCGGGUCUGCAGUGGGUACGGGCAGACUAGAGUGCGGUAGGGGAGAUUGGAAUUCCUGGUGUAGCGGUGGAAUGCGCAGAUAUCAGGAGGAACACCGAUGGCGAAGGCAGAUCUCUGGGCCGUUACUGACGCUGAGGAGCGAAAGGGUGGGGAGCAAACAGGCUUAGAUACCCUGGUAGUCCACCCCGUAAACGUUGGGAACUAGUUGUGGGGUCCAUUCCACGGAUUCCGUGACGCAGCUAACGCAUUAAGUUCCCCGCCUGGGGAGUACGGC